GGAGGCAGCAGUAAGGAAUAUUGGUCAAUGGGUGAAAGUCUGAUCCAGCCAUGCCGCGUGAAGGAUGAAGGCCCUAUGGGUUGUAAACUCCUUUUAUAUAGGGAAGAAACCUAGUUAUUUGUAUCUAGUUGAAGGUACCAGAGGAAUAAGCACCGGCUAACUCCGUGCCAGCAGCCGCGGUAAUACGGAGGGUGCAAGCGUUAUCCGGAUUUAUUGGGUUUAAAGGGUGCGUAGGCGGACCGGUAAGUCAGUGGUGAAAUCUCCCAGCUUAACUAUGAAACUGCCGUUGAUACUAUAGGUCUUGAGUAAUUUGGAGGUAGCUGGAAUAAGUCGUGUAGCGGUGAAAUGCUUAGAUAUGACAUAGAACACCGAAUUGCGAAGGCAGGUUACCAAGAUUUCACUGACGCUGAGCGACGAAAGCGUGGGGAUCAAACAGGAUUAGAUACCCUGGUAGUCCACGCCGUAAACGAUGCUAACUCGACUUUGGGGAUCAGGCUUCAGAGUCCAAGCGAAAGCGAUAAG
rnacentral:rRNA from 1 species